GUUAAGCGACUAAGCGUACACGGUGGAUGCCCUGGCAGUCAGAGGCGAUGAAGGACGUGCUAAUCUGCGAUAAGCGUCGGUAAGGUGAUAUGAACCGUUAUAACCGGCGAUUUCCGAAUGGGGAAACCCAGUGUGUUUCGACACACUAUCAUUAACUGAAUCCAUAGGUUAAUGAGGCGAACCGGGGGAACUGAAACAUCUAAGUACCCCGAGGAAAAGAAAUCAACCGAGAUUCCCCCAGUAGCGGCGAGCGAACGGGGAGCAGCCCAGAGCCUGAAUCAGUGUGUGUGUUAGUGGAAGCGUCUGGAAAGGCGCGCGAUACAGGGUGACAGCCCCGUACACAAAAAUGCACAUGCUGUGAGCUCGAUGAGUAGGGCGGGACACGUGGUAUCCUGUCUGAAUAUGGGGGGACCAUCCUCCAAGGCUAAAUACUCCUGACUGACCGAUAGUGAACCAGUACCGUGAGGGAAAGGCGAAAAGAACCCCGGCGAGGGGAGUGAAAAAGAACCUGAAACCGUGUACGUACAAGCAGUGGGAGCACGCUUAGGCGUGUGACUGCGUACCUUUUGUAUAAUGGGUCAGCGACUUAUAUUCUGUAGCAAGGUUAACCGAAUAGGGGAGCCGAAGGGAAACCGAGUCUUAACUGGGCGUUAAGUUGCAGGGUAUAGACCCGAAACCCGGUGAUCUAGCCAUGGGCAGGUUGAAGGUUGGGUAACACUAACUGGAGGACCGAACCGACUAAUGUUGAAAAAUUAGCGGAUGACUUGUGGCUGGGGGUGAAAGGCCAAUCAAACCGGGAGAUAGCUGGUUCUCCCCGAAAGCUAUUUAGGUAGCGCCUCGUGAAUUCAUCUCCGGGGGUAGAGCACUGUUUCGGCAAGGGGGUCAUCCCGACUUACCAACCCGAUGCAAACUGCGAAUACCGGAGAAUGUUAUCACGGGAGACACACGGCGGGUGCUAACGUCCGUCGUGAAGAGGGAAACAACCCAGACCGCCAGCUAAGGUCCCAAAGUCAUGGUUAAGUGGGAAACGAUGUGGGAAGGCCCAGACAGCCAGGAUGUUGGCUUAGAAGCAGCCAUCAUUUAAAGAAAGCGUAAUAGCUCACUGGUCGAGUCGGCCUGCGCGGAAGAUGUAACGGGGCUAAACCAUGCACCGAAGCUGCGGCAGCGACGCUGAUGCGUUGUUGGGUAGGGGAGCGUUCUGUAAGCCUGCGAAGGUGUGCUGUGAGGCAUGCUGGAGGUAUCAGAAGUGCGAAUGCUGACAUAAGUAACGAUAAAGCGGGUGAAAAGCCCGCUCGCCGGAAGACCAAGGGUUCCUGUCCAACGUUAAUCGGGGCAGGGUGAGUCGACCCCUAAGGCGAGGCCGAAAGGCGUAGUCGAUGGGAAACAGGUUAAUAUUCCUGUACUUGGUGUUACUGCGAAGGGGGGACGGAGAAGGCUAUGUUGGCCGGGCGACGGUUGUCCCGGUUUAAGCGUGUAGGCUGGUUUUCCAGGCAAAUCCGGAAAAUCAAGGCUGAGGCGUGAUGACGAGGCACUACGGUGCUGAAGCAACAAAUGCCCUGCUUCCAGGAAAAGCCUCUAAGCAUCAGGUAACAUCAAAUCGUACCCCAAACCGACACAGGUGGUCAGGUAGAGAAUACCAAGGCGCUUGAGAGAACUCGGGUGAAGGAACUAGGCAAAAUGGUGCCGUAACUUCGGGAGAAGGCACGCUGAUAUGUAGGUGAGGUCCCUCGCGGAUGGAGCUGAAAUCAGUCGAAGAUACCAGCUGGCUGCAACUGUUUAUUAAAAACACAGCACUGUGCAAACACGAAAGUGGACGUAUACGGUGUGACGCCUGCCCGGUGCCGGAAGGUUAAUUGAUGGGGUUAGCGCAAGCGAAGCUCUUGAUCGAAGCCCCGGUAAACGGCGGCCGUAACUAUAACGGUCCUAAGGUAGCGAAAUUCCUUGUCGGGUAAGUUCCGACCUGCACGAAUGGCGUAAUGAUGGCCAGGCUGUCUCCACCCGAGACUCAGUGAAAUUGAACUCGCUGUGAAGAUGCAGUGUACCCGCGGCAAGACGGAAAGACCCCGUGAACCUUUACUAUAGCUUGACACUGAACAUUGAGCCUUGAUGUGUAGGAUAGGUGGGAGGCUUUGAAGUGUGGACGCCAGUCUGCAUGGAGCCGACCUUGAAAUACCACCCUUUAAUGUUUGAUGUUCUAACGUUGACCCGUAAUCCGGGUUGCGGACAGUGUCUGGUGGGUAGUUUGACUGGGGCGGUCUCCUCCUAAAGAGUAACGGAGGAGCACGAAGGUUGGCUAAUCCUGGUCGGACAUCAGGAGGUUAGUGCAAUGGCAUAAGCCAGCUUGACUGCGAGCGUGACGGCGCGAGCAGGUGCGAAAGCAGGUCAUAGUGAUCCGGUGGUUCUGAAUGGAAGGGCCAUCGCUCAACGGAUAAAAGGUACUCCGGGGAUAACAGGCUGAUACCGCCCAAGAGUUCAUAUCGACGGCGGUGUUUGGCACCUCGAUGUCGGCUCAUCACAUCCUGGGGCUGAAGUAGGUCCCAAGGGUAUGGCUGUUCGCCAUUUAAAGUGGUACGCGAGCUGGGUUUAGAACGUCGUGAGACAGUUCGGUCCCUAUCUGCCGUGGGCGCUGGAGAACUGAGGGGGGCUGCUCCUAGUACGAGAGGACCGGAGUGGACGCAUCACUGGUGUUCGGGUUGUCAUGCCAAUGGCACUGCCCGGUAGCUAAAUGCGGAAGAGAUAAGUGCUGAAAGCAUCUAAGCACGAAACUUGCCCCGAGAUGAGUUCUCCCUGACUCCUUGAGAGUCCUGAAGGAACGUUGAAGACGACGACGUUGAUAGGCCGGGUGUGUAAGCGCAGCGAUGCGUUGAGCUAACCGGUACUAAUGAACCGUGAGGCUUAACCU
rnacentral:rRNA from 1 species